CGUGCAAAAAAUAAAAUAAAAUAAAUGGAUGAGUGAAAAAUCAAGAAGAAGAAAAAGAAGAGAAAUAUGGAAAAAAAACUCAGAGGAUUUUGGCAAGAGGAGAGGGAGAAGGAUAGACAGCAAAUUUUUUUUUGGAAAAGAGGGUCAAAAUUCGGUUAUGAGAAAAAAAGAAAAUAAAAUCCCGAUAACCCCCAAAAUCCCUUAAUCUUCUCCCCUAAUUCCCACUACACAUCCACUACUCAAAAUCCCCCUAUUACACAACUCUAUCUGAAAUUUGAGCCAAAAAAAUAAUACCCUUGUCUGCAUAGGGAUUCGAACACAAGACCUCCACCAUAAUAACACACCAUUUAAC
rnacentral:lncRNA from 1 species